UAGAUCUCUCAGCCCUGCCCACAUAAUUUUUUUCCGAAUAAUGAAUCAAUUUUCUAUUUGACUAGCUUGUUUUAAAUACUUUACUUGUUUUCUUGCUACGACGAUUGUUGUUUUUGAUCCUCAACAACAAUAAAGCGUCUCGUUAUGAUGAUAAACCGAACUUAGCCCACUCCAGAGCCCUCUAUUUCAAUAGUUUAGCUACAUCAGGUUGAAACAAAAAGGAUCAACAAAAACAAUGGCAACGUAAGUGAGUAUGGAAUGUACUGCGAGGACGAUUUGGUAGCGAACAACCUGCGCAUGGAUGUUUCUAUACCCUAUCUUCUUUAAUAUUAAAGCGUACAUAUGUAUACCGUCUGCUCAAUUUUCAACUCAAAAAAUACCGUUUCGGUAGCAAUACCGAAAAAGAUACUUUCGAUCUAUCCACUGGAUGGUAGCGCGCUUAAGUCCGUGUCAAAAUGUUACCUGUUAAAUUGGCUUUUCAAAUAUCAAGAUAAACUUGUUUAAAAGAAUCCAUCAACUUUUUUUUGAUUUUCCACAUAUUCAUUAAUGAUGUUUCCAAAGCUCAGCUAAAUAUGAUAAAUUAUAAACA